rnacentral:lncRNA from 1 species
ACAACUUUUAGUGAGUGGAUAGAGGGAUGUCCCCAGAGCUGUUUCCUGAGCGUGACCGAGUGCGCCUUUCUUGUUUUUCUUUUAUAUUGACGAAGCUAUUGUCCGGUUGAAAUAUUAUCGAUUAUUUAGGCUAAAAACAACCUGAGGAUUGAUUAUAAACAUCGUUUGACAUAUUUCUACGAACUUUACUGGUACUGUUUGGAAUUUUCGUCUGCCUGUUGUGACCGCAUUUGAGCCAUUGGAUUACUGAACAAAACGCUCCAAUAAAAUGGAGGUUUUUGGAUAUAAAGAGGGACUUUAUCGAACAAAACGAACAUUUAUUGUGUAACUGGGAGUCUUGUGAGUGCAACCAUACGAAGAUCAUCAAAGCCUCACCAACAGAUGUCAUCUCUACAGUUUCAGCUGUUUCCCCUGCAGCCCCUCCUGCCAACCCCUCUACCGCCCAUAGUAGAGCCUUCAUCAGAAGACACAGGAUGGCUCUAGAGACUCGCCUGGGACUCUUACAGUCCUUAUUUCUGCGUCUCCAGGAUUGUGGGGUUCUGAAUGACGAGGAGAGGGAGGAGGUGGUCAGCAAAUCCACCAAGACCCUACAGAACCAAGCCCUGCUGGACAUGGUGGUAAGGGAGGGGGCUCAUACCCAUGAAUACUUCUACCAGGUCCUGAAGGAAGUAGAUCCCUGCCUGGUUGAAGACCUGGAAGAGCAGACAGUCUGAGGCAGGUGGCCAUGGAUACAACCUCAGUAGAUAUCAAAACUUUUAUCAGAUACAGAGAGCAGUACUUUGAGG